GACGAACGCUGGCGGCGUGCUUAACACAUGCAAGUCGAACGCAGUGGCGAACGGGUGAGUAAUACGUGGGUAACUGCCUGGUAGCGGGGGAUAACUAUUGGAAACGAUAGCUAAUACCGCAUACUGCCAGCUGGACCUGCGUUGUAUUCGUUAGUUGGUGGGGUAACGGGGCACCAAGGCAACGAGACAUAGCCGACCUGAGAGGGGGAUCGGCCACAAUGGGACUGAGAAACUGCCCAGAAUUCUACGGUAGGCAGCAGGAGGGAAUCUUCGGCAAUGGGGGGAACCCUUACCGAGCAACGCCGCGUGAGUGAAGAAGGUUUUCGGAUCGGAAAGCUCUGUUGUUAAGGAAGCGGUACUUAACCAGAAAGGGACGGCUAACUACGUGCCAGCAGCCGCGGUAAUUC
rnacentral:rRNA from 1 species